CUCCACUGCGGCCCCCCUUCCUCACGGGCCCCAUAGCAGCUGCGUGGUCUGCCUAUAUGUCCAAAACUUGAAAACAAGAUGGCAGUCUUGCCGUGAUCAAUUUCGGCAGAAGGAGACGUAAAAAAAAGGACGUAGUGGCGAUAGUGGUGGAAAAAAACAACAACAUAUCUAUACACCCAGCAACUUCGGUUCCUGAAGCCCAUUUUUGAAUUGCGGCCAACUGUCGACAGUCUGGAUGAAGGCCCAUCUGAAACGCGGUCUGUGGAUAGUAAUCCGGUGAUGUCACCUCCGGACCCCUGCUCUCCAGCGCGUACACCACCGCAGCCUUCAACUCCACCAGCUGACCUUCCGGAUGAACCCCAGACUAGCAGAGCAUCCAGGAAGAGGAGACGACAGAGUCCCCCUCCGCAGCCUAUUUCGGGAUCAAAUACUCGAGACCUGGUGGAUACUCACGUUCUCGAGUAUUUAUCCCGAAACAGGCCGGAGUGCCAGGAGGACUCUAUAAUGCUAGGACUGGGACCAUUUCUACAAAGAGUACCACGGUCAAGGCAGUAUAUGUGCGUGUCGUCAUUGACUGCUGUCCUUGAAUUAUUUGCAGGGCCAAUAAUGCCCAUGAAUAUUUUUAAUUAUUUAAAUGAGGCGAGAAAAAAGCUGCAUGUAGCGGCUGACCAGCCAACGUUUGAGCCAGUAUUGAGCCAGCCUCAAAGGGUCACACGAGUUUACCCCCCGCCUCUACCUCCUCAACAUGUGAGGGUUACUCUGUUACCCAAGACCUGUAUGAGUUAUGAUUUCUGUUUG